rnacentral:rRNA from 1 species
UACGAAGGGGGCUAGCGUUGCUCGGAAUCACUGGGCGUAAAGCGCACGUAGGCGGCUUUUUAAGUCAGGGGUGAAAUCCUGGAGCUCAACUCCAGAACUGCCUUUGAUACUGGGAAGCUUGAGUCCGGGAGAGGUGAGUGGAACUCCGAGUGUAGAGGUGAAAUUCGUAGAUAUUCGGAAGAACACCAGUGGCGAAGGCGGCUCACUGGCCCGGUACUGACGCUGAGGUGCGAAAGCGUGGGGAGCGAACGGG